ACAGCCACAUCAUGUUGAAAUAGCAGUUCCCAUAUGAUCACAGAAGUUAAGCAUUGCAGAGCCUGGUCUAUACCUAGAUGGAUGACCACUUGGGAAUACCAGCUGUUA